GCCGCCAUAGCUCCAGCGGUAGAGCAGUCGCCUUGUAAGCGAAUGGCUCGGGGCUCGAGUCCUCGUGGCGGUACCA
rnacentral:tRNA from 1 species